GGCCUGGUUGUGGGUCGCCACCAAGUGAGCCGGUGGCAACCGCAACUGGAACUCCCCCGAUGAUCUUAAUAGGGUUCAUGGAGAAGAAGGCUCUCUCUUAAAUACCCUGGCCCAAGCUGUUCAGGGCUUUAUAGAUACCAUUAUCAUCGCCGCCACCACCACCACCACCACCACCACCACCACCACCACCACUUUUAUUAUGGUCACUAACCAGAGACAAUGAAGCUGGCCUUGAGAACCACCGGGAGGUGCACAGCUCUCAGCGGCAGACUCAGCUAUGAAGCCUGGCUGAUAAACAAGAGUCAGAACAAUCCGGAAGAUUUACCGCUUGGAAUGAUAAGCAGAUAGUGUUGCAGAAGAAAUAUGCAGAAAGGUAUUCUGUGAGCAGGUGAGACCUGACAUUGACCAGACACUUGAAGACAGAUUCCAAGAGGGGGAGAAGAAAGCAGGAAUCCAUCCUCCUCUGCCGCUGCAUACACACACUCCAAGAGCUUGGUAUGACCUCCGACUCACCCAUCAAGGCAUAGGCUUAUGUUACAUCCCGGAGCUGAGUAAUUACCUCAGUCACUACCACCCAGGCUUGGCUGCACAUCUGGCUUUCCCA